rnacentral:rRNA from 1 species
AAACGUAGGUGGCGAACGUUAUCCGGAUUUACUGGGCGUAAAGCGCUCGCAGGCGGCGUCGUAAGUCUGACGUGAAAGCUCCCGGCUUAACUGGGAGAGGCCGUUGGAUACUGCGGAGCUUGAGGGCAGGAGAGGGGAGUGGAAUUCCCGGUGUAGCGGUGGAAUGCGUAGAUAUCGGGAGGAACUCCAGUGGCGAAGGCGACUCUCUGGCCUGACCCUGACGCUCAGGAGCGAAAGCGUGGGGAGCGAACAGGAUUAGAAACCCUAGUAGUCC